CCUACGGGAGGCAGCAGUGAGGAAUAUUGGUCAAUGGACGAGAGUCUAAACCAGCCAAGUAGCGUGAAGGAUGACUGCCCUAUGGGUUGUAAACUUCUUUUAUAUGGGAAUAACAUGUUCUACGUGUGGGACUUUGUAUGUACCAUAUGAAUAAGGAUCGGCUAACUCCGUGCCAGCAGCCGCGGUAAUACGGAGGAUCCGAGCGUUAUCCGGAUUUAUUGGGUUUAAAGGGAGCGUAGGUGGAUUGUUAAGUGAGUUGUGAAAGUUUGCGGCUCAACCGUAAAAUUGCAGUUGAAACUGGCAGUCUUGAGUACAGUAGAGGUGGGCGGAAUUCGUGGUGUAGCGGUGAAAUGCUUAGAUAUGACGAAGAACUCCGAUUGCGAAGGCAGCUCACUGGACUGCAACUGACACUGAGGCUCGAAAGUGUGGGUAUCGAACAGGAUUAGAUACCCCGGUAGUC
rnacentral:rRNA from 1 species